rnacentral:rRNA from 1 species
GCCGGAUAACCCACAAUGCCUGGAACGGUUUGUGGGUGAAGAUAGGAUGGGUCUGCGGCGUAUCAGGUCGUAGGGGGUGUAAUGGACCUCCUAGCCAUCGACGCGUACGGGUGUUGGGAGACAUAGCCCGGAGAUGGAUUCUGAGACACGAAUCCAGACCCUACGGGGUGCAGCAGGCGCGAAAACUUCACACUGCAGGAAACUGUGAUGAGGGAACUCCAAGUGCAUUCACUAUGUGGAUGCUUUUUUUGACUAUUAAUCGGUCAACGAAUAAGGGCUGGGAAAGACCGGUGCCAGCCGCCGCGGUAAUACCGGCAGCUCAAGUGGUCGUCGCUUUUAUUGGGCCUAAAACGUCCGUAGCCUGUUUGGUAAAUCUGUGGGUAAAUCAACCAGCUUAACUGGUUGAAUUCUGCAGAGACUGCCAGACUAGGGACCGGGAGAGGUGUGGGGUACUCUAGGGGUAGGGGUAAAAUCCUGUCAUCCUUAGAGGACCACCAGUUGCGAAGGCGCCACACUGGAACGGAUCCGACGGUCAGGGACGAAGCCUAGGGGCACGAACCGGAUUAGAUACCCGGGUAGUCCUAGGUGUAAACGCUGUGAACUUGGUGUCGGGGAUCCGCAAUGGGUCCUCGGUGCCGGAGUGAAGAUGUUAAGUUCACUGCCUGGGGAGUACGGUCGCAAGGCUGAAACUUAAAGGAAUUGGCGGGGGAGCACUGCAACGGGAGGAGCGUGCGGUUUAAUUGGAUUCAACGCCGGGA